AUUGAACGCUGGCGGCAUGCCUUACACAUGCAAGUCGAACGGUAACGAGCCUUCGGGUGCCGACGAGUGGCGAACGGGUGAGUAAUGUAUCGGAACGUACCUUUCAGUGGGGGAUAACGUAGCGAAAGUUACGCUAAUACCGCAUACUCUGUGAGCAGGAAAGCAGGGGAUCGCAAGACCUUGCGCUGAUUGAGCGGCCGAUAUCAGAUUAGCUAGUUGGUGAGGUAAAGGCUCACCAAGGCGACGAUCUGUAGCGGGUCUGAGAGGAUGAUCCGCCACACUGGAACUGAGACACGGCCCAGACUCCUACGGGAGGCAGCAGUGGGGAAUUUUGGACAAUGGGGGCAACCCUGAUCCAGCCAUGCCGCGUGAGUGAAGAAGGCCUUCGGGUUGUAAAGCUCUUUCGGCCGGGAAGAAAUCGUAUCAGCUAAUACCUGGUGCGGAUGACGGUACCGGCAUAAGAAGCACCGGCUAACUACGUGCCAGCCGCCGCCGUAAUAC
rnacentral:rRNA from 1 species